rnacentral:ncRNA from 2 species
AAAUAACUAGCAUAAGCAGGUGCUCCGAAAGGAGAUAAUAGGGAACCGUGUGUAAUUCUCGGGCGGUCCCGCCGCUGUAUGCGGGGAAUGUUUCUCACAAUGCCACUGGCUAUAGUGCUGGGAAGGCGAGAAAUGCGAUGAUCCGCGAGCCAGAAGACCUGCCUGUUUAUGAUAAAGCAC